AGUGUUACCAAUGGCUGAGCAUGGAAAGAUGCACCUCCAUGUCAAAAAUUAUGCGAUUUUAUCCAAAAUUAUGCGCUCUGUCGUAAAACGUAAAAACUAUUUUAAAAUUUACUGCGCAUGCGCAGAAAUUCAAAAGUCUUGACGUGUCAAAGCAUUUUUUUGACAAAUGACAUUAAAUAUUUUUGUAAAUAAAUAUUUACGAAUAACCUAUCAAAUUUUUACAUGUAAUAAGAUCUUAGACCCAGAUAAAAUUUAAAAUCAUUAAAAAGGGAGUUGUUAAAAUACUUUUGCAUAUUAUGGGUAUAAAAUGGGGAAUUUAUGGACAAUGUAUUAUUAGGGAAUAGUGGACCAGUCCUCAACUACCUAAAAUGACACCAUUAGAAGAUUCACCAAGAAUUGUGAUUGAAAGAACAUUUGGUAUUUUGAAGAGAUUUCCCAUUUUAACGUGUGUAAUAAGAAGCAAGUUACCAUUUUUUCAAAGAAUAAUAUGAGCUUGUUGAGUUUUACAUAAUAUUGCAUUAGUUAAUAGAGGAAACAUUGAAAUACUGACAAAUAAGGGUGCUGUUGAUAUUGAUAUAGAACAUUUUCAACCA
rnacentral:lncRNA from 1 species